rnacentral:tRNA from 1 species
AACAAAGAAGUAAAAUUUACAUUUAGUUUCGACCUAAAAUUAAGGAAUCAUUCCUCAUGUUU